ACACAUGCAAGUCGAGGGGCAGCAUAACGAUAGCUUGCUAUUGUUGAUGGCGACCGGCGCACGGGUGAGUAACGCGUAUCCAACCUGGCCCAUGCUAGGGUACAGCCCGCCGAAAGGCGGAUUAAUGCCUUAUGUGUCCUUUGAUGACAUCAGAUUAGGAUAAAAGAUUUAUCGGCAUGGGAUGGGGAUGCGUCCGAUUAGCUAGACGGCGGGGUAACGGCCCACCGUGGCGACGAUCGGUAGGGGUUCUGGGAGGAAGGUCCCCCACAUUGGAACUGAGACACGGUCCAAACUCCUACGGGAGGCAGCAGUGAGGAAUAUUGGUCAAUGGGCGCGAGCCUGAACCAGCCAAGUAGCGUGCAGGAAGACGGCCCUAUGGGUUGUAAACUGCUUUUGUGCGGGGAUAAAGUGCCUUACGUGUAGGGUUUUGUAGGUACCGCAUGAAUAAGGACCGGCUAAUUCCGUGCCAGCAGCCGCGGUAAUACGGAAGGUCCUGGUGCUAUCCGGAUUUAUUGGGUUUAAAGGGAGCGUAGGCGGGCUGUUAAGCGUGCUGUGAAAAGCCCCGGCUCAACCGGGGUCGUGCAGCGCGGACUGGCGGUCUUGAGUGCGCGGUAGGAAGGCGGAACUCGUGGUGUAGCGGUGAAAUGCUUAGAUAUCACGAAGAACCCCGAUUGCGAAGGCAGCUUUCCGCAGCGUUACUGACGCUGAUGCUCGAAGGUGCGGGUAUCGAACAGGAUUAGAUACCCUGGUAGUCCGCACGGUAAACGAUGGAUGCUCGCUGUUCCGUUUUUUUAUUGGAGUGGCCAAGCGAAAGCGUUAAGCAUCCCACCUGGGGAGUACGCCGGCAACGGUGAAACUCAAAGGAAUUGACGGGGGCCCGCACAAGCGGAGGAACAUGUGGUUUAAUUCGAUGAUACGCGAGGAACCUUACCCGGGCUUGAACUGCAGUUGCAGGGCUAGGAGACUGGUCCAUCCCUUCGGGGCGGCUGUGGAGGUGCUGCAUGGUUGUCGUCAGCUCGUGCCGUGAGGUGUCGGCUUAAGUGCCAUAACGAGCGCAACCCUUUUUGCCAGUUGCCAUCAAGUGAAGUUGGGGACUCUGGUGAUACUGCCUCCGCAAGGAGUGAGGAAGGUGGGGAUGACGUCAAAUCAGCACGGCCCUUACGUCCGGGGCUACACACGUGUUACAAUGGCGCGUACAGAGGGCAGGCUUGUCGCAAGGCUGGUCGAAUCCUCAAACCGCGUCUCAGUUCGGAUUGGGGUCUGCAACCCGACCCCAUGAAGCUGGAUUCGCUAGUAAUCGCGCAUCAGCCAUGGCGCGGUGAAUACGUUCCCGGGCCUUGUACACACCGCCCGUCAAGCCAUGAAAGCCGGGGGCGCCUGAAGUCCGUGACC
rnacentral:rRNA from 1 species